CAGGCAAGGCUUGCAGCAGACGCAGCAGCAGCAGCAGACCGCCGCCCUGGUGCGGCAGCUCCAGAAGCAGCUCUCCAGUAACCAGCCACAGCAAGGAGUGACUCCCUAUGGGCAUCCUUCACACUUCUGAGUCUGGGAGACAAGUCAUGAAGUUUUAUGUUUGCACUGAAAAACAGAAAAUCUAAUUUAAUGCAUUAGAAAUGUCCCUUUGUUAUUUCAUUUCUUUGAAGUUUUCUUAUGUUUUAUGCUACACUUGUACAAAGGUGUUUAAACAAAAAGCAGAGGAGGAAGUGUGGUUUGGCUUGUUGCUUUCAGCUUUAAAGUAGAUUUAAAAUGUGGCUCAUGCCUACUCCAGGGAGAGUUUGGUAGCAGACUUUUUGAAAUUGGUGCUUUUUUUUGAAUCUCAUAGAAAGAAUGAAUUGUGGUGGACAUAAAAUAUUUAUAUAUUCAUUAGUGAAAGUUUUUUUCUUUUCAAACUGUGCCGGACCAAACUACUGAUUUGAAAGGCAUUUCAGUUCUUGACAGAAAAGUGGCCCAUUUAUUCUGCAUUUACCUUUGACAGUGAAGUGAACAUUUAUUCGCAUCACUCUAAUGUGAAAUGUUUGUAAUUUCAUAAGCACUUUAUACACUUUGUUCUUAUUUAUGUAGGUUUUUCUUUGCUUUUAUUGUGGUCAAAAGGUGCUGAAACAGGUUGUUGCUUAAACUUCUUAGACCAAGAACUUAAACCAAGGCUUCUGGGAGUGCCACCUAAGAACGUGGACACCUGUUGGAAGUAGCUGUACUCAGAUUUGUUUUCAGAGGCAAGGCCGUUGACCAGUCUGUGUGAAGGUACAGCAUGUAAAUUCUAGAGGCCCCAACAAACCACGGUGGAAUUGUUCCAAUUAUUUAUUGCCAGAUUUGGCAAAAACAACUGUGUCCAGUUUUGGUUCUCCUGAACCUUAUGCCAACUUGAGAAAAAAAAUCUCGCAGCUGGCGUGAGAUUUCAGUGCUCAAACUUGACAUGGUUUCCAGAGAACCUGGCCCCGGUCCAGAGGCUCUGGUUUUCAUAAAAGAUGUAUUUGCUGUUUAUUUUGUAUGGUAAGUAUUUGCUAUUUUGAAUUUAAUUAUUAAUGUUGGUGUCAGUCUUGGUUGUGUAUUGCAUAUACUGUAUUUAUAAAUUGGUGCAAAAAGCACAAGUAAAUUAUACAUCAAAUUUAUUAUAAAGAAAUAGUAACUAUUUUAACUUUGUUCAAGUAUGUGGUAAUUUGCUCCUAUUAGAGUAAAAAAAUACAGUAAAUUAUUAUCAGUUUGUGUAAUUUAAGAGUAUUCCAUAUAAUAUUUUUUUAGAUUUAGAUGCAUAAAAUUUUGAAUGUGAAAAUUGCAGGGCAUUUAAAAACAUACGUGGGGGUAUUUUCCCAUGUUCUGCGUUAACUCAUUUCCUUUUGCCAUGUGAUUCCACGUCAUGUAGUCACAUACUGUGAAUAGAUUUGUCUAGAAUGAGCAAACCACGUAGAACCACUCUUUUUUCAAUGUAACUAGUACAACUUUAGUAGAUCAUUUCCUUUGCAAAGCAUUAUAUAAAUAAUUUAUAUCUUCCUAGGUGAGUUACUCAUUGCAAAGUUUGACUCAUGCAAAUGACCUCAGAUCUCUGUCCGCUUACUUUGCUGUGGCAGCAUCCAUGCGAACUGCUUUGUACACUGUGAAACUCGUUUACUCCGGCUGCUCAUCGUGUUUACUCGGGGCCGGAAAAGAUUUUGCCAAAACAUUAAAGACCAUUCUUUUCACUA